UGCGCACUUCUUGUUUCCUGGGCGGGUUCGCCCGCCACCAGGACCAAACCAUAAACCUUUUUGUAAUUGCAAUCAGCGUCAGUAAACAAUGUAAUUAUUACAACUUUCAACAACGGAUCUCUUGGUUCUGGCAUCGAUGAAGAACGCAGCGAAAUGCGAUACGUAGUGUGAAUUGCAGAAUUCAGUGAAUCAUCGAAUCUUUGAACGCACAUUGCGCCCUUUGGUAUUCCAAAGGGCAUGCCUGUUCGAGCGUCAU
rnacentral:rRNA from 1 species